rnacentral:rRNA from 1 species
GCAGUCCGAGUUGUAAUUUUGAGAACUGUUUUCUGUGCUGGACCAUAUACAAGUCUGUUGGAAAACAGCAUCAUUGAGGGUGAUAAUCCCGUAGAUGAUAUGGACUACCAGUGCAAUAUGAUACAGUCUCUAAGAGUCGAGUUGUUUGGGAAUGCAGCUCAAAGAGGGUGGUAAAUUCCAUCUAAGGCUAAAUAUAGGUGAGAGACCGAUAGCAAACAAGUACCGUGAGGGAAAGAUGAAAAGAACUUUGGAAAGAGAGUUAACAGUACGUGAAAUUGUUAAAAGGGAAACAUUUGAAGUUAGACUUGUUAUUAUUGGUUCAGCUUCUCUUUUUUAAUUAGGAGUUUAUUCCAAUGGUUGACAGACCAGCAUCAAUUUUUGAGUGUUAGAUAAGGGUCUUGGAGAAUGUGGCAACUUUGGUUGUGUUAUAGCUCCUGGCUUGAUAUAAUGCUUAAGAUUGAGGAACGCAGUGAGCUUCUUGGCGGAUUCUUUUUUGAAUCUUCAUCACUACGGUGGUUGGUGU